CUGAAGGUCAGUUGAACUUCAGUGGUUGUACAGAAGAGACGUGUUGCUCCGUCUCCUGCCCCCCCCCCCUACCCCGCCGGCUUUACCGCUUCCUCAUCCAUUUAAUACACCUAAAUAACGUCUGGUAACAGGAUUGCUGUGUCUGGCUGUCUCUACCGCAACAUUGAUCAACACGACAACUUUGACCAGUCUGAGUGGUGGAGACAACCACACUAGUAAAUGGUCUGACCUAUAACAUUUAGUGUUAUAUGGCGAUGCAGCAGUUGGAGACGUCUUUAGAGGUUGAAGAUAUUCCCCAUGUUGUGGGCAGCUGCUGCGAUGUGGUGAAGUCCAUGUGUGCAGCUGCUGCUGUGUGGUGAAGUCCAUGUUGUGUGCAGCUGCUGUUGUAUGGUGAAGUCCAUGUGUGCAGCUGCUGUUGUAUGGUGAAGUCCAUGUUGUGUGCAGCUGCAAGUCUUCAGAGAUCACCAGCAGCAACACCCCAAAACAAUGUCUGCAAAGAUUUUAUGGCACUGGAAGAGCUGAAGGUGUUGGUGUGGUGGAUGGCAGAGGAGUGACUAGUGGCGCCACUAUUCUGGACCUCCAUGGCUAAAUGGCGCCAUUGACCUAGAGGAGGGUGGGUGAUGACGUCAGUGG